ACCCUUCUGCUACAGGAGCCCACCAGAGCUGAAGUGCUUAGUGGCUCUUUUUAGGUUUUUUUGAAAAUGCGUCCUCAGUAUGAUCUUCAGGCUGACCUCUAACUCACCAUUCUCCUGACACAUCCUUCCAAGGCCUGGGAUUACAGGAAGUCAGCCUCCAAAGCUCCUCCUGUAGAACCCACUCUUAAGGAGCACAUACAGAGACAAUGUGAGCUGGAGCAUUCAAGAGGACUGAGACAUAGAGACAAGGUGCUGGACAGGCAGUAGCAGCCUUCCAGGAAGAGUCCUGGCCUGAGCAGAAUGGAAGAGAAUUAGUGUACAGUGGAUUCCUAUGAGACAGCUUCAUGAAGUCCUAAGGAGAAGGAGGCUGAAGCCUAUGGCCAAGAGACUGGCAGAAGCUGCUGAAGAACUGGUCCAUCACAUGGAUAUAUCAUGGUUCUAUUAGAACAAGCAUCUGGGACUUCCUCUCGAUUCAGGUGUGUAGUAUCCUGAUGGUGUGUGCUGAUGGGACAAUAAUUAAUAAUAAUAAUUAAUAAUAAUAAGCAAUCCUUAUUAAUCACAGCUAGCAGAGAGUAAUUUGAACACGGAACAAAAAAUUUGUGAAUAAAUGUUCAUUGUUGGAC
rnacentral:lncRNA from 1 species